CAAAUUUGAAAGCUGGCGUCUUCGGCGUCCGCAUUGUAAUCUCGAGAAGUGUUUUCCGCGUUGGACCAUGUACAAGUUCCUUGGAACAGGACGUCAUAGAGGGUGAGAAUCCCGUACUUGACAUGGAUGCCCAACGCUUUGUGAUACGCUCUCCACGAGUCGAGUUGUUUGGGAAUGCAGCUCAAAAUGGGUGGUAAAUUCCAUCUAAAGCUAAAUAUUGGGGAGAGACCGAUAGCGAACAAGUMCCGUGAGGGAAAGAUGAAAAGCACUUUGGAAAGAGAGUUAAACAGUACGUGAAAUUGUUGAAAGGGAAGCGCUUGAAGUCAGACAUGCUGCUGAGACUCAACCUUGGUUUUCCUUGGUGUACUUCUCAGUUGGCAGGCCAGCAUCAGUUUUGGCUGUUGGAUAAGGGUAGGAGGAAUGUGGCAUCCUCGGAUGUGUUAUAGCCUCUUACUGGAUACAAC
rnacentral:rRNA from 1 species